rnacentral:rRNA from 1 species
UACAGAGGGUGCAAACGUUGUUCGGAAUUACUGGGCGUAAAGCGCGUGCAGGCGGCCUUGCAAGUCGGACGUGAAAUCCCUCGGCUUAACCGGGGAACUGCGUCCGAUACUGGUUGGCUUGAGUUUGGGAGAGGGAUGCGGAAUUCCAGGUGUAGCGGUGAAAUGCGUAGAUAUCUGGAGGAACACCGGUGGCGAAGGCGGCAUCCUGGACCAAUACUGACGCUGAGGAGCGAAAGCCAGGGGAGCAAACGGG